rnacentral:rRNA from 1 species
AAAAGUAAGUAAGGGCACAUGGCGGAUGCCUUGGCUCUCGGAGGCGAUGAAGGACGUGAUAAGCUGCGAUAAGCUGCGGGUAGGUGCAAAUGACCUUUGAUCCGCGGAUUUCCGAAUGGGACAACCCGGUACUUUGAAGAAGUAUCAUCCUGCAUUGCAGGAGGCUAACGCAGGGAACUGAAACAUCUUAGUACCUGCAGGAAAAGAAAAUAAACAAUGAUUCCCCCAGUAGUGGCGAGCGAACGGGGAAUAGCCCAAACCACCCAUGUUACGGCAUGGGUGGGGUUGUAGGACCACGCCGUGGCAAGAAAGUUGGUGAGCAGAAUGUUCUGGAAAGUACAGCCAUAGAGCAUGAGAGCUGCGUAUGCGAAGCCAAGCGAAGCCUAGUGGUAUCCUGAGUAGCGCGGAGCACGAGGAAUUCUGCGUGAAUCUGCCGGGACCAUCCGGUAAGGCUAAAUACUCCCGAGAGACCGAUAGUGAACCAGUACUGUGAAGGAAAGGUGAAAAGCACUUCGAACAGAAGAGUGAAAUAGUUCCUGAAACCAUGUGCCUACAAGCGGUCGGAGCACCUUUUGGUGUGACGGCGUGCCUUUUGCAUAAUGAACCUACGAGUUACUUUUUCCGGCGAGGUUAAGGAUUUCAGAUCUGCAGCCGAAGCGAAAGCGAGUCUGAACAGGGCGUAUAGUCGGAAGGAGUAGACGCGAAACCAAGUGAUCUACCCUUGGGCAGGUUGAAGGAUGGGUAACACCAUCUGGAGGACCGAACCAAUAAGCGUUGAAAAGCUUCUGGAUGACCUGAGGGUGGGGGUGAAAGGCUAAUCAAACUUGGAGAUAGCUCGUACUCCCCGAAAUGCAUUUAGGUGCAGCCUUGACUUAUACUGGCAUGAGGUAGAGCGACUGAUAAGAUGCGAGGGCUUCACCGCCUAUCAAGUCUUGACAAACUCCGAAUGCGUGUCAGUUCUAUGUCAGGAGUGAGGGCAUGGGUGCUAAGGUCCAUGUCCUAAAGGAGAACAAUCCGGACCAACAGCUAAGGUCCCGAAAUGAAUACUAAGUUGAACUAACGAAGUCAGAUUGCUAAGACAGCUAGGAUGUUGGCUUGGAAGCAGCCAUUCAUUUAAAGAGUGCGUAACAGCUCACUAGUCGAGGAGUUUGGCGUGGAUAAUAAUCGGGCAUAAGUAUUCUACCGAAGCUUUGGGAUGAGAAAUCAUCGGUAGGGGAGCAUUCCACUCUGCGUCGAAGGUGAGGCGCGAGCCUUGCUGGAGCGUGUGGAAAAGCAAAUGUAGGUAUAAGUAACGAUAAAGGGGGUGGGAAACCCCCUCGCCGAAAGACUAAGGUUUCCUGAUCAACGCUAAUCGGAUCAGGGUAAGUCGGGUCCUAAGGCUCAGCCGAACGGCGAGGCCGAUGGCAGAACCGGUUAAUAUUCCGGUACUACCUGUGGGAGUGACGUGGAGACGGAGUCGUGACAGCGCCGCGGACUGACGGAAUAGUCCGUUGAAGGGUGUAGAUGCUGAUUGUUCCAGGCAAAUCCGGAGCAAGAGUCGAACCUGACAGUAUGGAGCGUUCUUAGAACAAUCCAAUAGUGCGUGUAAUCAUACUUCCAAGAAAAUCCGCUAAACUUAAUCCUGCAGGUACCCGUACCGCAAACGGACACACGUAGUCGGGUUGAAUAUACUAAGGCGCUUGAGUGAUUCACGGUUAAGGAACUAGGCAAACUGACCCUGUAACUUCGGGAUAAAGGGUCCUCGCUUUACGGCGAGGCGCAGAGAAUAGGUCCAGGCAACUGUUUAACAAAAACACAGGGCUGUGCAAAAUUGAAAGAUGAAGUAUACAGCCUGACACCUGCCCGGUGCUGGAAGGUUAAGAGGAGAUGUCAUCGCAAGAGAAGCAUUGAAUUGAAGCCCCAGUAAACGGCGGCCGUAACUAUAACGGUCCUAAGGUAGCGAAAUUCCUUGUCGGGUAAGUUCCGACCUGCACGAAUGGUGUAAUGAUCUGGACGCUGUCUCAACCGUGAGCUCAGUGAAAUUGUAGUAUCGGUGAAGAUGCCGAUUACCCGCGAUGGGACGAAAAGACCCCGUGAACCUUUACUA